rnacentral:rRNA from 1 species
GACGUAGGGCGCAAGCGUUGUCCGGAUUUAUUGGGCGUAAAGAGCUCGUAGGCGGUGUUCCAUGUCAGAGGUGAAAGCCUGGGGCUCAACUCCAGAAUUGCCUUUGAAACGGGGACGCUUGAGUCCGAGAGAGGAUGGCGGAAUUCCUAGUGUAGAGGUGAAAUUCGUAGAUAUUAGGAAGAACACCGGUGGCGAAGGCGGCCAUCUGGCUCGGUACUGACGCUCAGGUUCGAAAGCGUGGGGAGCAAACAGG